ACAAGGAGUGUUCAGGUGGCUCAGAAGUGAGAAGAGAGGCAUAGAUCUCUCCUGGCUCUGACAGCUUCAGUUCAGCCUCCCACCUAUCCCAUCUCUGACAACCUGCUCUGACAGUCCCAGUGUGAGGAAAGUUGCUACAUUACCCUUGAGAAGAGAAUAACAUCCCCUACAAGCAGAAGCCAGCAGAACUUCCCAAAAGUUGUCUAAGGGUCUCUUGCUGGAGGAAAAAGGUCUGAAAAAAUUGAGGUUGCACAGUGGCUAUACCCAUGGAGAAGGAGAAAGGGGCGUAUCUCCAAGUAACUUUGGUCACAUCUCCCAAUGGAUAAAUCUAAUCACAGAAUGCCGGCGAUUGCAAGGGACCGUGAAGGAUCAUCUAGUCCAAUCCCUCUGCCAGAGCAGGAGCAUUUAAAUCAGGCCACACAGGAGUGUGUCUAGAAGUGUUGUGCUGAAUCCCUUUGGUGAAAAACACAGGCAACCAAGCCAAGGGGGAGGAAAAGGACGGGGCACACAGCCUCAUAAAAUACUCAACAGCUCGCUGAACAGGUGAUGAGGGCGAUGUGUAGGUGUCACAAACCGGCUUUACAGAAACAAGGCUAGGAAACCCCGCCGAGGCUUCCCGGGUGGUGCAAUGCUGCCACCUGGCGGCCUCCCGCUGCCUCCUCCCGCUUGGCUCCGCUCGUUCCGCUGCUCCGCGCCUGACUGGGGGCUGCGUCAGGCUGAGAGCGGCGCUGCCAGCAGGGGGCUGUAGAGUAACGAGGGCUAAGAACGGAGAGACCCAGAGGGCCCUGCCUGCCUCGGUCACGCCGUCGUUCUUUGAAGAGUCUCUUUAGCCAUGUGGAUGUUUACUGCAUCAUCUACAUUUUUUUUUUAAGUAUACGCGGUUUAUUGCACGUACGCAUAUUUAUCACCUUUCCCCCUCCGUACAGAGAGCCCUUCAUCCACCUUCCAUCCUCCUCCUGCCUGAGAUGGCUUAGGGAUCCAAUCUCUGGAUUUGGGGAUGCUAUCUACACAGUAACCUUUGCUGAAGUUUACAUUUUCCACGCUGCACCGUUCCUUUAGGAGUGGUGGAUUUUGAGACAAGGGUGUAUUAUGCAGAGGAAGGAUGAGCCCAAACACAUCAUUCACCUUUCUCAAGACUGCAGAAGCCAGUAAGGAAAAAGGAAAAACUAAGAACUAACAGGGUUUCUCUUUCAUUCUUUUGUGGAACUCGUUAUUGUAAUCACUGGGAGUGCUUAACAGUGAGGAGAGGGGUGGAGGGGUAGAGAGGGAGGAUUCACGGGUAGGAAGCAUGAACUUAUUAAUUAACUUGUGGAAAAAAGAAAAAGUGCGGGGCACCUUUAGUAGCCCUCUGUCUACAAGGAUCAAUAUAAACAAGUCAGAUGUAUGCUCUCAAGUCUCAUUUCCUCACUUACAGACAAAAGAUGGAAGAACAGCAGAGAAAAGAUGAUUUCUAGGGCUGGACCAGCCAUUCAUAGGCUAAGACAGGAGAAGAUAGAAAUUUUCAUACAGAUUCUGCAGGACAUGGUCACUUCAAGCCCUGCCUUCCCACCUCCACUGCCUGUCACUGAUACAAACCUUGUCCUGAGCCAGGGGAUGCCACAGCGCUGUCCCUGUGUGCUCCCUUAUGUCCCCACUGACCCCUAUCACUAUCUCCAAACCCAUCCGCACCUAAUCUCUCCUAACACCUUCUUUAAUCUCAUCUAAAUAGCUGCUGGCAAACCCUCUAAUUCUGCUUGUUAAUGCUCCAGCCUCUGUGCUCACACUCCCUGCUAACACAAAGCUGGGUCCUUUUACAGAUGAAAGAGCCUUAUUGCCAGGCCACAAGUCACACGUCUCCAGGCGUGGUGGGAAUUAAUGGCCUCCAGAUAAAGUAGGAGGUGGGAUUUAGUAGCAUGGCAGGGAAGAAGUGCUUGGGUAAGAAUCAGAUUUUCUGUUGCUGAAAUAAAUCCUGUACAUAUGUGGAAGAAGAUGAUAUCCAAAUCUAGAUUUACAGAAUACUUAAACAUGCAGCACUCCUGCAAGCUUUGAGACAUUGGUUGGGGAACAAGACUAAAUCAACAAAGCCCCAGCUAGCAGAGUAAAUUAGGGAAACAAAGCACAACACAAACGUCUUCUCUCCCCCUCCACCGCCCCCUCUAAACCCUCCAUUUUGGCAUGUUUCAGAACUGUCUAAACUUUCUCCUGUGAU